AGUUAGCUCAACUCAUGGCGUUACAUGUGCAAGAGAUAAAGAAGCCAGGACAUGAGUCAGGUAACGUUACUGUCAGAACUUGUACAAAUCCUUCCAUUAAGAUGUGUCAAUCAGGCGGAGGGGAAGUAAUGGGGUUCUCAUGAAGACUAUGCAGGAGGAGUCUACCCCACAACUGCAGAUCAUCCGUGUAGGUAAACACUGCAAAAGGGAAUAGGUACUCAACACACUGAUGCUGACAAGAUAUGGAGGAUUAGAGCAGAGGUAGGACAAGAGUUCUGCAACGUUACGGUUAAGUGUUGAGCAGAUUGUGUGGUCGACAAGUCCUGCAACAACUCUGUCCCAUAUACAAGAAGAAUUGUUGGAUAAUGCACCUCAAAGGUGCCACUUGAAACUGUUCCACGUGCGACAAAGCAGCAAGACAGGAUUUCUGUAACGUUACGGUCAACAAACCAGUUUUCUGCUACUGACAAGGUUUGGAGGAAUACCUACCGUAGCUAGCUAACAUGCUGUUGUAACGUGGUUACCGCUGGAGUAAAAAAACCUACUUGCUCUUCCACAACAUUCGUCAGGAAUGCAGCAGGAAAAAAGUUCUGUAACGUUACUGUCACGUGACUAAACACGUGUCUUGUGUGCCAACUCACUCUGCAGGGACACAGACAAUAUAUCUAGAUCCUGUACUAACGGCAUCAGUUGACUGCCGGGGUGGUUUAUACUCUCCCUGCAGUUUUAUAACGUUACGGUCACUUAUAGAUAUCGGAUAUCCAAUGUAAAAACGAGACUGUAACGUUACGGUUGAAAUUAGGAGAACAGUUACACGCGGUUUAACAAUGCUUGAGCACUUCAAGGAAAGGUUAUUCUACAACUAACAGAAGAUAACGACAAGAUUUCUAUAACGUAACGGUCAAGUUACACAGCAGCGAGACAUCAUGUGGAUCUAUAAAAAAUGCACGGAACAAAUGGUCGAAAGUAAGGAUCUAGAGUUAUAUAACGUUACGGUCAUUUAUCAUCGGAAUUCCAGAAGGUUGCUUAGAAUUAUUAGUAAUAUUACUAGUGACAAAUAUAUUUCUAUCUUAUCUGGACAAGAGAUUUAUAACGUUACGGUCAUUUAUCACGUUAAUAACAGUAGCUUUAAGUUUAUUGAAGUAUUGUAGUUAGUACCUUGGGUGCUUUCUUAGAUAUUUUUACGGAUGUUUAGAAGUUUAAUCUUGUUACUUGUGAAGAAAUACAUUACGUUGUGAAAAUUUACUUUUAAUUUUACAACUUAUUAUUCUACCAUUACGUUGUGCACAUUUACUUUUAAUUUUACAGCUUAUUAUUCCUACCACUAUUUGCUAUUUUCUUAGAAUAAUAUUCUUAAAUCUGCGGCUGGAUUAGAGAUUUAUAACGUUACGGUCACGUGGAAUUUAAAAAAACAUAGACAGAUCUUCGGAUGUAUAACUUUACCAUUACGUUGUGCACAUAUACUUUUAAUUUUACAACUUAUUAUUUUACCAUUACGUUGUGCACAUAUACUUUUAAUUUUACAACUUAUUAUUUUACCAUUACGUUGUGCACAUAUACUUAUAAUUUUACAACUUAUUAUUUUACCAUUACGUUGUGCAAAUAUACUUUUAAUUUUACAACUUAUUAUUUUACCAUUACGUUGUGCACAUUUACUUUUAAUUUUACAACUUAUUAUUCUACCAUUACGUUGUGCACAUUUACUUUUAAUUUUACAGCUUAUUAUUCCUACCACUAUUUGCUAUUUUCUUAGAAUAAUAUUCUUAAAUCUGCGGCUGGAUUAGAGAUUUAUAACGUUACGGUCACGUUGAAUUAAAAAAAAACAUAGACAGAUCUUCGGAUGUAUAACUUUACCAUUACGUUGUGCACAUAUACUUUUAAUUUUACAACUUAUUAUUUUACCAUUACGUUGUGCACAUAUACUUUUAAUUUUACAGCUUAUUAUUCUACCAUUACGUUGUGCACAUUUACUUUUAAUUUUACAACUUAUUAUUCUACCAUUACGUUGUGCACAUUUACUUUUAAUUUUACAACUUAUUAUUCCUACCACUAUUUGCUAUUUUCUUUGACACGUAUUAUUUUUAAUCUGCGGCUGGAUAAAAGACUUAUAACGUUACGGUCACGUGGAAUACCACGUGUUAGUGAGAUAUUAUCUUUAGAACGUGGUGAACUAAUACAUCCCUUAAUUUACAGAAACACUCACGUUAAUAACAGUAUAUUAAAUUAUUUAAGUAUUUAAUGUUGCUUUGUUUGUUGAGCAUUACUAUUGAUUAAACUUAAAAUUGUCGCCAUUUCUGAUUUCAUGA